rnacentral:rRNA from 1 species
CCUACGGGGGGCAGCAGUGGGGGAUAUUGGACAAUGGGGGGAACCCUGAUCCAGCGACGCCGCGUGAGUGAAGAAGUAUUUCGGUAUGUAAAGCUCUGUCAGCAGGGGAGAAAGAAAUGACGGUACCUGACCAAGAAGCCCCGGCUAACUACGUGCCAGCAGCCGCGGGAAUCCGUAGGGGGCAAGCGUUAUCCGGAAUUACUGGGUGUAAAGGGAGCGUAGACGGUUAAGUAAGUCUGGAGUGAAAGGCCGGGGCUCAACCCCGGGACUGCUCUGGAAACUAUUUAACUUGAGUGAAGGAGAGGUAAGCGGAAUUCCUAGUGUAGCGGUGAAAUGCGUAGAUAUUAGGAGGAACACCGGUGGCGAAGGCGGCUUACUGGACUGUAACUGACGUUGAGGCUCGAAAGCGUGGGGAGCAAACAGGAUUAGAUACCCGUGUAGUC